AGUUCACCAGGUUUUACUCGGCUAAGAAGGAACGCUAGGUUACCUAGGUAUAUGCUUAACACAUGCAAGUCGAAUUUUCAGGUACGCUUAUCUUGCCUUGAGAAGUGGCAAAUGUGUGCGUGACUCGUGGGAAUCUGUCGAACAGUUCGAGCCCAAAUCCUGAAGUGAGGAUUAAUCUUGGACAAUAAAUGGAAGUUUGAUUCAACAAUAUUGCGUGAAUGAAGAAAGGCAAUGCCGCUUGUAAGACUCUUUGGUUGAGUGCACAAUCAUGUCAAGACUAGAGGAAGAAGCCACAGCUAACUCCGUGUGAGCGAUGGUAAGAACAGGGAUCGAGUAAAUGUUUUUCGGAAUGACUAGGCGUAAAGGACACGUAGGCGGUGAAUCAACUUGAAAGUGAAAUUUGCGAAAAAGUGGUGGAAUGCUCUCGAAACCAAUUCAUUCGAGUGAGAUAGAGGAGAUGUAGAAUCCCAAGAUCUACGGAGGAAGAAGGCAACUCUUUGGCUCCCUUCUAACGUUGGAGUGCGAAAGGAAUUGACGGGGAGCCGGUGGUUUAAUUCUACACUCUGCAAAACCUUACCGGCCCUUGACAUAUGAAGAACACAACUUGU
rnacentral:lncRNA from 1 species